rnacentral:rRNA from 1 species
UGAGUAACCUGCCCUUCACUCUGGGAUAACUCCGGGAAACCGGGGCUAAUACUGGAUAUGACUCGAACAGGCAUCUGUUUCGGGUGGAAAGAUUUAUUGGUGGAGGAUGGACUCGCGGCCUAUCAGCUAGUUGGUGAGGUAAUGGCUCACCAAGGCGACGACGGGUAGCCGGCCUGAGAGGGCGAUCGGCCACACUGGGACUGAGGCACGGCCCAGACUCCGUACGGGAGGCA